rnacentral:misc_RNA from 1 species
UCCGGUUUGACACCGGCAGUCUCCUGUGAGUCCCCACCACCCCGAAGGGCGUGCUGGCAACACAGGACAAGGGUUGCGCUCGUUGCGGGACUUAGCCCAACAUCUCACGACACGAGCUGACGACAACCAUGCACCACCUGUGUACGAGUGUCCAAAGAGUUCGUUAUCUCUAACGCGUUCUCGUACAUGUCAAGCCUUGGUAAGGUUCUUCGCGUUGCAUCGAAUUAAUCCGCAUGCUCCGCCGCUUGUGCGGGCCCCCGUCAAUUCCUUUGAGUUUUAGCCUUGCGGCCGUACUCCCCAGGCGGGGCACUUAAUGCGUUAGCUGCGGCACAGAACCAGUGGAACUGGCCCCACACCUAGUGCCCAACGUUUACGGCAUGGACUAC